AUCCAAAAAAAACUUAGGUUUCCGCGUCUAAUGUUUGACCGUCCAUCUUAUUUGAAAAAAAUUAAAAACAUAAGUCAUGCAUAAAGUAUUAUUCAUGUUUUAUCAUUUAACAAUAAUAAUAACACCAAUCAUAAAAAAAAUUUAUAUAAGACGGAUGGUCAAACGUUGGACACGGAAACCCAAGAAUUGAGUCUUU
rfam:Oryza rufipogon genomic scaffold, chr06